rnacentral:rRNA from 1 species
CCUACGGGAGGCUGCAGUGGGGAAUAUUGGACAAUGGGGGGAACCCUGAUCCAGCCAUGCCGCGUGUGUGAAGAAGGCCCUCGGGUUGUAAAGCACUUUCAGUGAGGAAGAACGCCUGGUGGUUAAUACCCAUCAGGAAAGACAUCACUCACAGAAGAAGCACCGGCUCAACUCCGUGCCAGCAGCCGCGGUAAUACGGAGGGUGCGAGCGUUAAUCGGAAUUACUGGGCGUAAAGCGCGCGUAGGUGGCUUGAUAAGCCGGUUGUGAAAGCCCCGGGCUCAACCUGGGAACGGCAUCCGGAACUGUCAAGCUAGAGUGCAGGAGAGGAAGGUAGAAUUCCCGGUGUAGCGGUGAAAUGCGUAGAGAUCGGGAGGAAUACCAGUGGCGAAGGCGGCCUUCUGGACUGACACUGACACUGAGGUGCGAAAGCGUGGGUAGCAAACAGGAUUAGAUACCCCAGGAGUC